UCCGCCCAGAGUUUCAUGACCUAUAUAUAUGUAUAUACACAUCUACAGCACUGAUGAUUCUUUGGCACUACACUUUCCAAAUCCCGUCAUCUAAGUACUUGUCCAGAUGAAGACUGCUUUAAAAUGCACAGAAUACAUGCACAUCCUACUAAAAUAAAACUGAAAAAAUAGAGACAAAAACAACGUUGGUUCGCUAGUUUCCCUAAAUUUUCUCAUCAUUACAGA
rnacentral:lncRNA from 1 species